UACGGAGGGGGCUAGCGUUGUUCGGAAUUACUGGGCGUAAAGCGCACGUAGGCGGCUUUGUAAGUUAGAGGUGAAAGCCCGGGGCUCAACCUCGGAAUUGCCUUCAAUACUGGCUGUCUUGAGUGUGAGAGAGGUGUGUGGAACUCCGAGUGUAGAGGUGAAAUUCGUAGAUAUUCGGAAGAACACCAGUGGCGAAGGCGACACACUGGCUCACUACUGACGCUGAGGCGCGAAAGCGUGGGGAGCAAACAGG
rnacentral:rRNA from 1 species